AUGUACAUCAUUGUCACUAAUCGAGGCCUCCUCAGAUUGUUGGUCUUUGUGCUGUGCACUACAGGUCUUAUUGGUGGGAGUGACGUCAAACAGACUGACAAACUGUGGAUACACAAGGGUGACAAUGCAACAAUAAGCUGCAGCCACACCAAGGGUGCUGGCUACAACCAGAUGUACUGGUACCGACAGCUGCAAGGAGAAGCAAUGAAACAAAUAGUGUUCACAACAACUGUCAGCAAAGUUCACGACUUUGGAGAAUUCAGCAAAGAGAAAUUCUCAGCCACUAAACCUAAUGCUGAGAGUGGAACAUUCACUGUGAAGAAUCUGGUCCCAGAAGAUAAAGGCUUGUACUUCUGUGCUGUUAGUGAGCACAGUGAUACAGACACGUGUGGAAGCUGAACAAAAACCCCAGUGCACUGUCAACAUAAGUGUUACCAACAAGGUUUUAUUUCUUGUACUGUAGGGGGACCUCAAGGAGCAGAAACUGUCCCGCUUACAGUUUGAUUCACCAUGUGGAUUUUGACACAGCAGCUUACAGGAUCAGAGAACAUCACAC